CAUUGGGAAACUGGUGCUAAUACCGAAUGGUACUCUUUUAGCUGACGGGGCGAAGGAGUAAAGGUGGCCUCUUCAUGAAAGCUACCGUGUAGGGAUGAGCCUGCGUACCAUUAGCUAGUAGGUGGGUAACGGCCCACCUAGGCUACGAUGGUUAGCGGGUCUGAGAGGAUGAUCCGCCACACUGGAACUGAAACACGGACCAG
rnacentral:rRNA from 1 species